AUACGUAGGGGGCAAGCGUUAUCCGGAUUUACUGGGCGUAAAGGGAGCGUAGACGGAAGGCCAAGUCUGAUGUGAAAGCCCGCGGCUCAACUGCGGGACUGCAUUGGAAACUGGUCAUCUGGAGUGCAGGAGGGGUAAGCGGAACUCCUAGUGUAGCGGUAAAAUGCGCAGAUAUUAGGAGGAACACCGGUGGCGAAGGCGGCUAUCUGGACAGUAACUGACGCUGAGGCGCGAAAGCACGGGGAGCAAACAGGAUUAGAUACCCUGGUAGUCCGUGCCGUAAACGAUGAAUACUAGGUGUAGGGGGUAUCGACUCCCUCUGUGCCGCAGUUAACACAUUAAGUAUUCCACCUGGGGAGUACGGCCGCAAGGUUGAAACUUAAAGGAAUUGACGGGG
rnacentral:rRNA from 1 species